ACAGACUCAUGAUCCGUCAAGGUGAAGUAAAUCAUAUUUUGAUGUGUCAACGACUUUUUCAUCAGUUUGCAGUUGAUAUGUAUGUCAAAAUUGAGACUGAACGAUUGACAUACAUCCGUUUGAACCAACGACGGCUACGGUCAGAGGAAUACAUUCAUCUCCGCGAUGCUAUAAAUGCUGAUGGCAAUGUGAAUAAUGUAGGAAGAAUGACAAUUUUGCCAGCUACUUAUAUAGGAAGCCCACGCCACAUGCAUGAAUAUGCUCAGGAUGCUAUGUCAUAUGUUAGGCAUUAUGGCCGCCCAGACUUAUUUGUUACAUUCACAUGUAACCCAAAAUGGUCCGAAAUCAAGAAGGAAUUACUACAUAGCCAAACACCAGUUGAUAGACAUGACAUAACCGCCAGAGUUUUUAAACAAAAAUUAAAAUCUCUCAUGAAUUUUUUAAUAAAGCAUUGUGUGUAUGGCCGAGUCCGUUGUUGGAUGUACUCUGUAGAAUGGCAAAAGCGUGGAUUGCCACAUGCGCACAUUUUAGUCUGAUGAAAUAGUUGACCCAAAAUUGCAUGCAGUAGUUA